rnacentral:misc_RNA from 1 species
GGAACACAAGAAGUGGGCUAUGGGACCCAAGCUCAACAAACAAAAUCCAAUUCCAGUACAAGAGCCCAGUCUACUGGAUGGAAGACUCUAGAAACCUUCACUGGGAGCCAAUUUCAAAACCUGUUUUCACCGCAGAGCAUGGCUGGUAGACAUAGAGGAAGCACCCACAACACUAAUCCAAUAUCUCCAGCAUCGCAGCGCAAUAGAAACAGAAAAAAGGACUUCCAAUUGAGGUUUGAAGUACAACUUCUUUUAAUUUCUCGUAUGCUAGUUCUCUGUUUUGGGAUGAAUUCGAGCUCUUUGUUAUCUGUUCUUCACUGUGAUAUAUUUUCAUAUAUAUUAAAAAUUUUUAUUUUUAUUUAAAAUAAAUCGUUUUUCUAAA